UACAUGGGGUGCAAACGUUGCUCGGAAUUAUUGGGCGUAAAGCGCACGUAGGCGGUUUGUUAAGUCGGAUGUGAAAUCCCUCGGCUCAACUGAGGAAGUGCAUCCGAAACUGGCAGGCUUGAGUACUAAAGAGGGUCGCGGAAUUCCCGGUGUAGAGGUGAAAAUUCGUAGAUAUCGGGAGGAACACCGGUGGCGAAGGCGGCGACCUGGGUAGAUACUGACGCUGAGGUGCGAAAGCGUGGGGAGCAAACAGGG
rnacentral:rRNA from 1 species